rnacentral:rRNA from 1 species
GAUGAACGCUGGCGGCGUGCUUAACACAUGCAAGUCGAACGGAAAGGCCCAAGCUUGCUUGGGUCCUCGAGUGGCGAACGGGUGAGUAACACGUGGGUGAUCUGCCCUGCACUUCGGGAUAAGCCUGGGAAACUGGGUCUAAUACCGGAUAGGACCACUUCUUGGAUGUUGUGGUGGAAAGUUUUUUCGGUGUGGGAUGAGCUCGCGGCCUAUCAGCUUGUUGGUGGGGUAAUGGCCUACCAAGGCGUCGACGGGUAGCCGGCCUGAGAGGGUGUACGGCCACAUUGGGACUGAGAUACGGCCCAGACUCCUACGGGAGGCAGCAGUGGGGAAUAUUGCACAAUGGGCGCAAGCCUGAUGCAGCGACGCCGCGUGGGGGAUGACGGCCUUCGGGUUGUAAACGCCUUUCGCUAGGGACGAAGCGUUUUGUGACGGUACCUGGAGAAGAAGCACCGGCUAACUACGUG